CUACGGGACGCAGCAGUGGGGAAUAUUGGACAAUGGGGGAAACCCUGAUCCAGCAAUGCCGCGUGUGUGAAGAAGGCCUGCGGGUUGUAAAGCACUUUCGGUUGGGAGGACUGCUUCUAGCACUAAUAUUGUUGGAAGUUGACGUUACCUUCAGAAGAAGCACCGGCUAACUCCGUGCCAGCAGCCGCGGUAAUACGGAGGGUGCAUGCGUUAAUCGGAAUUACUGGGCGUAAAGCGCGCGUAGGCGGCUAGAUCAGUCGGGUGUGAAAGCCCCGGGCGUAACCUGGGAACUGCAUCCGAUACUGUCUAGCUUGAGUACAGGAGAGGAGAGUGGAAUUCCACAUGUAGCGGUGAAAUGCGUAGAUAUGUGGAGGAACACCAAUGGCGAAGGCAGCUCUCUGGCCUGAUACUGACGCUGAGGUGCGAAAGCGUGGGGAGCAAACAGGAUUAGAUACCCUCGUAGUC
rnacentral:rRNA from 1 species